GCAAUAGGCGCGGUCCCCUUGUAAAUUAAUAACGGACGCGGUUUCUCAGUAAUAACCGACGUGCGACUACGACUGAAUGGGAAAUGUGAAUAUUUGAGAGGAAAAAGGCACAAAGGCUGGAACAUGAUUCUUCAGACUGGUUUGAAGUGAUCAUGGACGUAUUCUCAAAUUUGUUGGGAGCAGGUGGCAACAAUGAGGAGAGUGCAUCCAGCCCUCACUCUAGAGCUUAAAAGAGUCUGAGAUCCUAAGGAGCUGUGGACUGCGGGUGUCCAUCACACUACAUCGGCAUUUUCUUGGCGCGAAGUUUUGGCAGCUGUCGGGCGUGCAGAGCCGGUUUCGUCUUUCCCUUCUACGCAGCCCGCUUGGAGGCCAUUGGCCCGGCCAGACAGAUGUACUCCUAACGCCUGCUUCAGCCCACGGACGCUAACUUGCCACACACAUGCCGAAUAUUCCCAGCACCUUCGUCUUCUGAAGUCCUUCAUCAUUAAGGAUAAAUAUGGAGAUGAAUUUCGCUAGAAAGAGAUCGUUUUUGUGCACCACAUUGGCCCAAAUAUAAGAAGUUUUUUUUUUAUUUCAUCCAAAAAACUGGGGUCAUUGAUAUUCGAGGACUAGAAUGUAAAUGUCACAAUGUACAUACAAGAGUAGACGGUGUGAAUUAUCGGCCUCCUAACUGUACAUUUCAAACAUAAUUGACGUUGGAUGAGAGCUGAUCAUCAUUUCAGCACUUUGCCUGUGCUGGAUCCCCAAGACGAAUUUUUUCAUUUUCAUUGUGUAUUUAUGUCAGUUGUAAAUGGAGUAACUGUGUAAUGUUUACCGUGGAAUGCAUGUUUUGAUAGCAUGUAGCUGUGAGUGUUAAUAGAGUAACUUUCAUUUUAAAAGAGCAGUCAUCACCUUUAUUAAAAUGACUCAACAACUUGCCACAA